UUUUCCUUUCAACUUCAAUAAUCGUCUAACAACUACCAACUUAUUCCAAAAAGUCAUGUAUAGGGUAUGUUUUUUAUAUUUUUAUUUUAUUUUUCUCAUGUGAAGAUGGUCCCAUUCCCAUGACAAGAUUGACAAUAACCAUAACAUAAAAAGUGUCAUGAAUGGAGUUGCUCUAAAGGCUAAACUAUAGAUUAGUUAGUGGAUAUAGUACAUGUUAGGCGGUAGCAUAGUACAUCUGCUCGAGAAUAUCGCGUGGCUCUGUCGAUCACACUCUCUUGCUCUGGAAUAUCUCAAAGUUGCAGGCUAGAUCAAGUAAACAAAAGGAAACAAAGCAAAGAUGGGGUUUGUCAUUGUAAUUUCUGUACCACUUAUCUUAUUAGUCCUGAUCAUAGUUAUAGCUGCAUAUCUGCUUGGAAGGGCUCGAGGUCGCAGUGUACCAACACAGUAUUAUGGGCCUCCUGCUCCGCCAUUUGCCGGACCACCACCUCCUGAUCAGGGAAAAUAAUCACAGGUCUAGCUAGCCGUUUAGGAAUUGCUGAGGUACGUGCUAGUACACAAACAUAAAGUGUGUAUAUAUUUCCCUGUAUGAUGUGGAUUGUGUUCUGCAACAGCUUGCAGUUUAUCAGUGUAUAGUGAAUUGACAUUUGUAUAUCUGGAUGCAUAUGUAGUUCUUGAAGUUCUGGGUAUUUAUGAAUGUUACAGUAACCGGAGAAACAAAGUUCGAGCGAAUUUUGGGGAAGAA